GGGUUGGAGAGGAGAGAUGGGUUUUCUUGGUUUGGUUCUUUAUCCAUGUUUUCUCUCCAUUCUGUGGGUUUACCUAUGUUGUUUAGCUGCUAACAUGAAGUGAGACCUCAAGAAGUUAAAGUGAGAUGAGAGAGAGAGAGAGAGAAAUCUAGAGGGAGAAAAAAUAGGGUAGUGCUAGUGGCCUAAUGGGUAAAGAAACAAGUAUUUUGAGGAGAAACUGAGAAACUAUUCGAUACAAUAUCUAACCUAUCCGGUAGAAUUGCAGAUAAACGAACCAAGCUAUUUGAAUUCGAACAUAUUUUUAUUCAUUAAAAGUUCAUUUAGCUAGGAUUAAUUUGUUAUACGAACAAGUCGAGCUUAAAUAUUUUUUUCAUAAUCGUUAAACUUUUUAAACCAAGCUUCAACAUAGCUAUUACUUGCAACAAUUAACUUUAGGAUGCGUAAAAAACUCAAACUACUCAGAGUCCGCUCAAUUAAGCUUGAUUUAUGAUUGACUUGCUUAAUAAAUAGUUCAAGUUUAAAAAUAUUUACUAUACUUAUUAAGUUUUUAACUCAAGCUUGAACAAUUAACCACUUAGUUCGUUUCUCAACCAUAAUCCUAUCAUGUGGCAUUCGACGAAUUUUGAAAUUGUGCUAGUUAUAUUUGAGUUUAAUUAGAUUCCUCUGGUUCAUGUUGUAGUUUAUCGGUAAAUUGUAAUAGCCAGAGGUAGUGAUGAUGAUGUAAUCCCGU